GGGCGCAGGUCCGGCUGGGGAGCGGAACGGCAUGGGAGGGCCGGCCGCAGCGGGUGACAGCCCCGUACGCGAACCCAGACCGGACGGCGCGACGCGGUCCCUGAGUAGGGCCGGGCACGUGAAACCCGGUCCGAACCUGGGUGGACCACCAUCCAAGCCUGAGUACUACCCUGUGACCGAUAGCGCACCAGUACCGUGAGGGAAAGGUGAAAAGCACCCCGGGAGGGGAGUGAAACAGUACCUGAAACCGUGCGCCCACGAGCAGUCGGAGCAACUUUCAGUUGUGACGGCGUGCCUUUUGUAGAAUGAGCCAGCGAGUCGCUGGCGCGGGGCGAGGUUAACCGAAAGGGAGCCGAAGCGAAAGCGAGCCUUAACAGGGCGACUUGAGUCCCGCGCCGCGGACGCGAAGCCGGGUGAGCUAUCCGUGGGCAGGCUGAAGCGGGGGUAAGACCCCGUGGAGGGCCGAACGCACGUCGGUUGAAAACGGCGGCGAUGACCUGCGGAUAGGGGUGAAAGGCCAAUCAAACCCGGAGAUAUCUCGUUCUCCCCGAAAUAGCUUUAGGGCUAGCGUCGCGCGUUCACCGCCGGAGGUAGAGCACCGGAUGGACGAGGGGGCUUCGCCGCCUACCGAAUCCAACCGAACUCCGAAUGCCGGCGGCCCAGAGCGCGGCAGUCAGAGCAUGUGGGCUAAGCUGUGUGCUCGAGAGGGAAACAGCCCGGACCGCCCGCUAAGGUCCCCAAGUUCCAGCCGAGUGGCAAAGGAUGUGCGUCCGCCCAGACAACCAGGAUGUUGGCUUAGAAGCAGCCAUCCAUUCAAAGAGUGCGUAACAGCUCACUGGUCGAGUGGACAUGCGCCGACAAUACACGGGGCUAAGCUGGACACCGAAGCGGCGGGAUUUUGAUUUACAGAAUCGGUAGGGGAGCUUCCCAUGGGCGGAGAAGCCGGAGGGCGACCGACGGUGGAGCGCAUGGGAGUGAGAAUGCUGGCAUGAGUAGCGAGAGACGAGAGAGUAACUCGUCCGCCGUGAACCCGAGGUUUCCUGGGCAAGGCUAAUCCUCCCAGGGUCAGUCGGGGGCUAAGGCGAGGCCGGAAGGCGUAGCCGACGCGCAGCAGGCAGACAUUCCUGCACCGCGCACGCGGCGCUACGACCGACGGGGCGACGGAUGGGGGUGGCUCGGCGGGGUUCUGGACGUCCCCGUGAAAGCGCGUAGGGGGCAGGGCAUGGAAAUCAGCCCUGCGGACACCCCGAGACGCGAGACGAAGCCUCCAUGGCGAAGCCGGUCAUCCCAUGCUCCCGAGAAAAACCCCUAGGCAGGCGCGUGCGCGCCCGUACCGCAAACCGACACAGGUGGGUGGGUAGAACAUACCGAGGCGAUCGGGUCAACCAUGGUCAAGGAACUCGGCACAAUGGCCCCGUAACUUCGGGAGAAGGGGUGCCCGCGCGUACGUGAACCGGCUCGCCCGGGGAGCGGAGGCGGGCCGCAGUGGAGAGGCCCAAGCGACUGUUUACCAAAAACACAGGACUCUGCAGAAGCCGCAAGGCGACGUAUAGGGUCUGACGCCUGCCCGGUGCCGGAAGGUUACGCGGAUGCGUUAGCAGCGAUGCGAGGCGCUGAAGCCAAGCCCCGGUAAACGGCGGCCGUAACUAUAACGGUCCUAAGGUAGCGAAAUUCCUUGUCGGGUAAGUUCCGACCUGCACGAAUGGCGUA
rnacentral:rRNA from 1 species